CAGAUGAUUGGGGUGAAGUCGUAACAAGGUAUCCCUACCGGAAGGUGGGGAUGGAUCACCUCCUUU
rnacentral:rRNA from 1 species